AAGGGUGUUCUGGGCACCCACGCCCAUCGGGUCCGCGAGCACCACCACAGGUCAGCGCAACGAAGGACAGUCGGCGAGCGCCGGGCCCGUCCAGUUCCACCCCGCAACGGUCACGCUGCGUGCCGCAAACGCCGGCCACGGGCGUGCACGUGCCCGGGGAGCCGCUUAGGGGACCACGGCGCGCUCGCCUCCAGAGCGUCUCUCCAGCGGCCGCACGCAGCUCUGACCUCGUUCCCCUGCGUGCUCUUAGCGAGAAAGGAGACUCGCUUCGCUUGUACCGAUAUGCUUUCAUCAGUGUGCACAACAGAGAACUGGGGAGAACGUGACGCCCAGCGCAGCGGGCCAAGUCCCAGCAGAGUCCCGAGAGGGACAGGUUACGAUCCACCCUGACUGAGCACACGCGAGAAUGCCCGUGUCUGUCCUUGCCGUGGAAACGGCUGUCCUGACCCAGGCUGCUGGCCCUGGCGUGGGCGCCAUCCACCAAGUGUGUGCUCCACGGGACCUGCUGAGACAGACGCCAGGCUUCUGCUACACACGCCAGAUCUCAAUCCCGCCAUGUCCGAUGGCCCAGAGACUGAAAUCUUAAUUGGUAAUAUAUUGUAAAAUUCA